GCUUGUCUCAAAGAUUAAGCCAUGCACGUCUCAGUGCAAGCCGCAUUAAGGUGAAACCGCGAAUGGCUCAUUAAAUCAGUUAUGGUUCCUUGGACCGUCCGCAGUUACUUGGAUAACUGUGGUAAUUCUAGAGCUAAUACACGCACUCAGUCCCGACCCCAGCGGAAGGGACGCUUUUAUUAGAUCAAAACCAAUCGGCCGGCUCGCCCGGUCGUUGUGUUUGGUGACUCUGGAUAACCAUUGGCCGAUCGCACGGUCUCCGCACCGGCGACGGGUCCUUCAAAUGUCUGCCUUAUCAACUUACGAUGGUAGGUUCUGCGCCUACCAUGGUUAUAACGGGUAACGGGGAAUCAGGGUUCGAUUCCGGAGAGGGAGCCUGAGAAACGGCUACCACAUCCAAGGAAGGCAGCAGGCGCGCAAAUUACCCACUCCCGGCACGGGGAGGUAGUGACGAAAAAUAACGAUACGGGACUCAUCCGAGGCCCCGUAAUCGGAAUGAGGGCACUUUAAAUCCUUCAUCGAGUAUCAAUUGGAGGGCAAGUCUGGUGCCAGCAGCCGCGGUAAUUCCAGCUCCAGUAGCGUAUAUUAAAGUUGCUGCGGUUAAAAAGCUCGUAGUUGGUGGUGUGUCCUUCUCUGCCGGUUCACCGCUCGUCGGUGUCAAACUGGCACGCACGGGGGACGUCCUGCCGGUGGCGGCGAGCCGAGGCUGGCGCGGCGGCGUUUUCGUCGUGCCGCUCCGGGCGCGGCGGGCGCGCGACGCGGCGUCGCGGAGGCUCCGGGCGCGCGGUCGUAUUUCGGCCGCCGUUCGUCCUUUGCGUCGCCCCCGCGCGUUUCGCCCGUCCGGGACCGGCGGUGUCGGCGGGCGCCGCGUCUGCGACUGUCCGAGGCGGACCCCGAACUGUCCCGCCGCGGUGCUCUUAACCGAGUGUCGCGCGGGCCGGCUCGUUUACUUUGAACAAAUUAGAGUGCUCAAAGCAGGCCUUUUCGCGCCUGUAUAUUCUGUGCAUGGAAUAAUGGAAUAGGACCUCGGUUCUAUUUUGUUGGUUUUCGGAGCUCGAGGUAAUGAUUAAUGGGAAUUGGCGGGGGCAUCCGUAUUGCGACGUUAGAGGUGAAAUUCUUGGAUCGUCGCAAGACGAACCGGAGCGAAGGCGUUUGCCAAGUAUGUUUUCUUUAAUCAAGAACGAAUGUUAGAGGCUCGAAGGCGAUCAGAUACCGCCCUAGUUCUAACUGUAAACGAUGCCAUCUCGCGAUCCGCUGUGUGUCUACGAUGUCACGGCGGGCAGCACCCGGGAAACCAAAGGUUUUGGGUUCCGGGGGAAGUAUGGUUGCAAAGCUGAAACUUAAAGGAAUUGACGGAAGGGCACCACAAGGAGUGGGGCCUGCGGCUUAAUUUGACUCAACACGGGGAAACUCAUCAGGCCAGGACUCCGGAAGGAUUGACAGAUUGAGAGCUCUUUCUUGAUUCGGUGGGUGGUGGUGCAUGGCCGUUCUUAGUUCGUGGGGCGACUUGUCUGGUUAAUUCCGUUAACGAACGAGACCCAAACCUAUUAAAUAGUCGAUACCGGCAUCCUUGGCGCAGCCGGCGAUAGCAUUUCUUCUUAGAGGGACAGGCGACUUCCAGUCGUACGAAAUGGGGCAAUAACAGGUCUGUGAUGCCCUUAGAUGUUCUGGGCAGCACGCGCGCCACAAUGAAGACGUCAGCGUGUGUUUCCCCUUGGCCGAGAGGCCCGGGUAACCCGUUGAACGGCCUUCGUGCUUGGGAUUGAGGCUUGGAAUUCUUCCUCACCAACGAGGAAUUCCUCGUAAGCGGGUAUCACCAAUACCCGUUGAUUAUGUCCCUGCCCUUUGUACACACCGCCCGUCGCUACUACCGAUUGAAUGAUUUAGUGAGGUCUUCGGACCGGAGCGCGGCUUCCGGGGUCAUCCCCGCAGCCGCCGCGACCGGAAAGAUGACCGAACUUGAUCAUUUAGAGGAAGUAAAAGUCGUAACAAGGUUAUCGUAGGUGAACCUGCGGAAAGGAUCA
rnacentral:rRNA from 1 species